UACGUAGGGAGCAAGCGUUGUUCGGAUUUACUGGGCGUAAAGGGCGCGUAGGCGGCCUGUCAAGUCAACUGUGAAAUCUCCGGGCUUAACUCGGAACGGUCAGUUGAUACUGUCAGGCUAGAGUGCAGAAGGGGCAAUCGGAAUUCUUGGUGUAGCGGUGAAAUGCGUAGAUAUCUGGAGGAAUACCGGUGGCGAAGGCGGCAUCCUGGACCAUUACUGACGCUGAGGCGCGAAAGCUAGGGGAGCAAACGGG
rnacentral:rRNA from 1 species